AGAUAUGCACGGUGUUAGCUAGCAUAUAUGCAGAGAUGAUAUUGCUUUAUAUAGAACUAGUCUAUUGGAGAUGAGACAAACAGUUAAAAUAGCUUUCCAAGUGUAUCGGGCUUUCGUCAGUGCAAGGUCUGAAAAAGAUUAAAUAUACACUUGGCCUGCAUGCAGAUAUAUUAUUUUUGUUGCUGUUGGAGAAUCGAUCUGUCUCGGAUCAAUGAGCUGAAGUCGCGAGAGAAAUGGUCGCAAGACGGUGGUUGAGACCAAAGGUCGGAUGCUGACUCCAGAUCCACGAUCAAUCUCCUGGACUGAAUUUUGCAAUACCCUCCAAAAUAGAAAAGUUCUCGCACUCAGGGGAUCCUCGACAGUG
rnacentral:lncRNA from 1 species